GGGGUGGGGUGACUGCGUACCUUUUGUAUAAUGGGUCAGCGACUUAUAUUCUGUAGCAAGGUUAACCGUAUAGGGGAGCCGAAGGGAAACCGAGUCUUAACUGGGCGUUAAGUUGCAGGGUAUAGACCCGAAACCCGGUGAUCUAGCCAUGGGCAGGUUGAAGGUUGGGUAACACUAACUGGAGGACCGAACCGACUAAUGUUGAAAAAUUAGCGGAUGACUUGUGGCUGGGGGUGAAAGGCCAAUCAAACCGGGAGAUAGCUGGUUCUCCCCGAAAGCUAUUUAGGUAGCGCCUCGUGAACUCAUCUUCGGGGGUAGAGCACUGUUUCGGCUAGGGGGUCAUCCCGACUUACCAACCCGAUGCAAACUGCGAAUACCGAAGAAUGUUAUCACGGGAGACACACGGCGGGUGCUAACGUCCGUCGUGAAGAGGGAAACAACCCAGACCGCCAGCUAAGGUCCCAAAGUCACAGUUAAGUGGGAAACGAUGUGGGAAGGCUCAGACAGCCAGGAUGUUGGCUUAGAAGCAGCCAUCAUUUAAAGAAAGCGUAAUAGCUCACUGGUCGAGUCGGCCUGCGCGGAAGAUGUAACGGGGCUAAACUGUGCACCGAAGCUGCGGCAGCGACGCUUAUGCGUUGUUGGGUAGGGGAGCGUUCUGUAAGCCUGCGAAGGUGUCCUGUGAGGGAUGCUGGAGGUAUCAGAAGUGCGAAUGCUGACAUAAGUAACGAUAAUGCGGGUGAAAAGCCCGCUCGCCGGAAGACCAAGGGUUCCUGUCCAACGUUAAUCGGGGCAGGGUGAGUCGACCCCUAAGGCGAGGCCGAAAGGCGUAGUCGAUGGGAAACGGGUUAAUAUUCCCGUACUUGGUGUUACUGCGAAGGGGGGACGGAGAAGGCUAUGUUGGCCGGGCGACGGUUGUCCCGGUUUAAGCGUGUAGGCUGGUUUUCCAGGCAAAUCCGGAAAAUCAAG
rnacentral:rRNA from 1 species